UACAGAAUUUAGUUAAGGAUUCAAAGCUAUAAAACCCCAGGAAGACAUAGCUCUGUUAGUUCAAGGAAAAGCUUUCCCUCUCUCCAUAACCAGCACACGGCAGCAAUGCAAAGCUUUACUUUCCUCAAUUUAAUGUUCUUGGCAAUACAAUGGCAGACUGGACACGGUCAGGAGACAAGUGCCAAGCCCAAUUCAUGUAUUGCAGGCAUACCAGGGAUCCCUGGCACUCCUGGAACAAAUGGGCAACAUGGACCACCAGGAAGGGAGGGGAAGGAUGGGCAGCCUGGACCAAAAGGAGAUCCUGGUAAAGUUGGAGAAAGAGGUCACCCCGGCUUACCUGGUAAAGCUGGCCCUCCAGGGAUUAUAGGCCUACCAGGUCCUCCAGGGUUUCCUGGUGUUCCAGGAUCUGCAGAAAUUAACUCAUCCAAUAAACUGUUUGCUUUUCAUGUUGGACUUGAUACCAAAUACCCUCCAUCUAAUAUACCAAUCCAGUUCAAAAAAGUCUUUUACAAUGAGCAAAAUGUAUACAAUCCAGAAAAUGGCAAAGUCACUGCCCCAGUCGAUGGGCUGUAUUUCUUGACCUACCAGAUAACUGUGUACUCUAAAUCUGUGCAUUUGAGUCUAAGGCGCAAUGAUGUAGUUGUGCAGCACAUGUUGCAUGAAUAUGGUUCCAACACUCACCAGGCAUCCGGAUCUUCCAUUCUAAAGCUUUCAAAAGGAGAUCAGGUCUGGCUUCAGGUUGUCGGUGACAAAAAUGGUCUUUAUAGUGAUAGUGAUGACGAUUCUACAUUUUCUGGAUUUCUGCUUCACGGCUAAAAAGGUUACUAAGGUAAUUGUAAGUUGUAGAUUAUGAUGCCUUUUAUUGGUCCAUCAAAAAAAUAAAGGAAACAAUUUAACUACA